CACAGGUUUUGAAAUAAACUCCAUAUUAUUGGCCUUUUCAAAGAGUAAAGCAUGGUGGCAUUGACACUGAUAUUCAUGUCGUCAAACUGGACUUCUGCAGGAUGGGGGUUCUGGGAGAGAAGCUGUUAAAGGAACUUCCUGAGGAUGCUGGAGUCAUUUUGUGGAGUUUCCCUUUUCCUUACUGGCCCCGUAGCUGCAUUGCUGGACCUGGAUUAAACCAGGUCUGGGCUUACAAUGUCCACACUGCUAGAGAACCGUCCAGAACAUCUUCUGACCAAUCACAGGCCUGAAUCAGCCUUCUGGUCUCAAGACUUGAAAACCAGCCUUCUCAGAACCACAGAACAGCAUCAACACACUUCAGCUGAUCCAAACAAAAGUAAACAUUUUCCCACUCUCCCUCAAGACCACUUCAAGAAAAGCAAUGCAUUGUAUAAAAUG